rnacentral:rRNA from 1 species
UACGUAGGGGGCUAGCGUUGUCCGGAAUCAUUGGGCGUAAAGGGCGCGUAGGCGGCUCUGCACGUCCGUUGUGAAAUCGCCCGGCUCAACUGGGCGGGGUCAGCGGAUACGGCGGAGCUUGAGCAAGCUAGGGGGCAAUGGAAUUCCCGGUGUAGUGGUGGAAUGCGUAGAUAUCGGGAGGAACACCAGUGGCGAAGGCGGUUGCCUGGGGCUUUGCUGACGCUGAUGCGCGAAAGCGUGGGGAGCGAUCCGG